rnacentral:rRNA from 1 species
GCUAAUCUCAAAAGGACCGAUCGUAGUCCGGAUUGGAGUCUGCAACUCGACUCCAUGAAGUCGGAAUCGCUAGUAAUCGCGGAUCAGAAUGCCGCGGUGAAUACGUUCCCGGGCCUUGUACACACCGCCCGUCACACCAUGGGAAUUUGUUGCACCAGAAGUAGGUAGUCUAACCGCAAGGAGGACGCUUACCACGGUGUGGCCGAUGACUGGGGUGAAGUCGUAACAAGGUAUC